rnacentral:misc_RNA from 1 species
UUCCUCCGCUUAUUGAUAUGCUUAAGUUCAGCGGGUAUUCCUACCUGAUCCGAGGUCAACCUUUCAGAAGUGGGGGGUUUAACGGCGUGGCCACGCUGUUUUCCAGUGCGAGGUGUGCUACUACGCAGAGGAAGCUACAGCGAGACCGCCACUAUAUUUGGGAGCCGGCGCGCCCCGGAGGGCACGCCGAUCUCCAACACCAAGCCCGGGGGCUUGAGGGUUGAAAUGACGCUCGAACAGGCAUGCCCGCCAGAAUACUGGCGGGCGCAAUGUGCGUUCAAAGAUUCGAUGAUUCACUGAAUUCUGCAAUUCACAUUACUUAUCGCAUUUCGCUGCGUUCUUCAUCGAUGCCAGAACCAAGAGAUCCGUUGUUGAAAGUUUUGAUUUAUUUAAUCAUUUACUCAGAAGAUACUGUAUAAAAUCAAGGGUUUGGGUCCUCUGGCGGGCUGCCGAAGCAGGCACCGCCGAGGCAACAAAUGGUAUGUCACAGGGGUUGGGAGUACCUGAUCCGAGGUCACCUUUCAUAAGUGGGGGGUUUAACGGCGUGGCCACGCUGUUUUCCAAUGCGAGGUGUGCUACUACGCAGAGGAAGCUACAGCGAGACCGCCACUAUAUUUGGGAGCCGGCGCGCCCCGGAGGGCACGCCGAUCUCCAACACCAAGCCCGGGGGCUUGAGGGUUGAAAUGACGCUCGAACAGGCAUGCCCGCCAGAAUACUGGCGGGCGCAAUGUGCGUUCAAAGAUUCGAUGAUUCACUGAAUUCUGCAAUUCACAUUACUUAUCGCAUUUCGCUGCGUUCUUCAUCGAUGCCAGAACCAAGAGAUCCGUUGUUGAAAGUUUUGAUUUAUUUAAUCAUUUACUCAGAAGAUACUGUAUAAAAUCAAGGGUUUGGGUCCUCUGGCGGGCUGCCGAAGCAGGCACCGCCGAGGCAACAAAUGGUAUGUUCACAGGGGUUUGGGAGUUGUAAACUCGGUAAUGAUCCCUCCGCAGGUCACCCCUACGGAA